rnacentral:rRNA from 1 species
AUUGAACGCUGGCGGCAGGCCUAACACAUGCAAGUCGAGCGGUAGCACAGAGAGCUUGCUCUCGGGUGACGAGCGGCGGACGGGUGAGUAAUGUCUGGGAAACUGCCUGAUGGAGGGGGAUAACUACUGGAAACGGUAGCUAAUACCGCAUAACGUCGCAAGACCAAAGUGGGGGACCUUCGGGCCUCAUGCCAUCAGAUGUGCCCAGAUGGGAUUAGCUAGUAGGUGGGGUAACGGCUCACCUAGGCGACGAUCCCUAGCUGGUCUGAGAGGAUGACCAGCCACACUGGAACUGAGACACGGUCCAGACUCCUACGGGAGGCAGCAGUGGGGAAUGUUGCACAAUGGGCGCAAGCCUGAUGCAGCCAUGCCGCGUGUGUGAAGAAGGCCUUCGGGUUGUAAAGCACUUUCAGCGGGGAGGAAGGCGUUAAGGUUAAUAACCUUGGCGAUUGACGUUACCCGCAGAAGAAGCACCGGCUAACUCCGUGCCAGCAGCCGCGGUAAUACGGAGGGUGCAAGCGUUAAUCGGAAUUACUGGGCGUAAAGCGCACGCAGGCGGUCUGUCAAGUCGGAUGUGAAAUCCCCGGGCUCAACCUGGGAACUGCAUUCGAAACUGGCAGGCUAGAGUCUUGUAGAGGGGGGUAGAAUUCCAGGUGUAGCGGUGAAAUGCGUAGAGAUCUGGAGGAAUACCGGUGGCGAAGGCGGCCCCCUGGACAAAGACUGACGCUCAGGUGCGAAAGCGUGGGGAGCAAACAGGAUUAGAUACCCUGGUAGUCCACGCCGUAAACGAUGUCGAUUUGGAGGUUGUGCCCUUGAGGCGUGGCUUCCGGAGCUAACGCGUUAAAUCGACCGCCUGGGGAGUACGGCCGCAAGGUUAAAACUCAAAUGAAUUGACGGGGGCCCGCACAAGCGGUGGAGCAUGUGGUUUAAUUCGAUGCAACGCGAAGAACCUUACCUGGUCUUGACAUCCACAGAACUUUCCAGAGAUGGAUUGGUGCCUUCGGGAACUGUGAGACAGGUGCUGCAUGGCUGUCGUCAGCUCGUGUUGUGAAAUGUUGGGUUAAGUCCCGCAACGAGCGCAACCCUUAUCCUUUGUUGCCAGCGGUUAGGCCGGGAACUCAAAGGAGACUGCCAGUGAUAAACUGGAGGAAGGUGGGGAUGACGUCAAGUCAUCAUGGCCCUUACGACCAGGGCUACACACGUGCUACAAUGGCAUAUACAAAGAGAAGCGACCUCGCGAGAGCAAGCGGACCUCAUAAAGUAUGUCGUAGUCCGGAUUGGAGUCUGCAACUCGACUCCAUGAAGUCGGAAUCGCUAGUAAUCGUAGAUCAGAAUGCUACGGUGAAUACGUUCCCGGGCCU